ACGCGCAGCCCCUGCCCGUGGCCUCCCACACUGUCCGCGCCCCAGGUCAUGCUCCACAGGGCUGGCAGAAGGAACCGAUUCCAGUUCUUUGUGAACAGAAAGGGGAAUAACUAUAACUGGAAAAACACGGCAAAGAAAGCAGCAUGCGAUGCUUUAUAUAUACUACUGCUGAUGGAAAACCCAAGACAAUAGUAAAUGCCACCCAGUAAAUGCCACCCAGUAAAUGCCACCCUUGGAGUGUGAAAUCCUAACGCUGGCAGAUGGAUGUGUGUUACUGCUGUGAUGGAGAUCGGGAAUUCAUGGUGGUUUAGUGACUCUUGAGUAAAAUCGUGCAUGGAUUUUCUGUGCAUCUUACUUCAUUCUAAAAGAUGUCCUUGUUAACGAGUUCAUUGUUUUAACAAUCAUUUCGUUGUUGCUGUCUGGUGACUCAUCAGUAAGGACUGUUUUAAUGUGCUGAAUGGACUAUGAAGUUCAGUAAUAAAAAACGGGUUGUGGAACAGCAA